CAGCCGCCGCGGUAAUACGUAGGUGGCAAGCGUUGUCCGGAAUCAUUGGGCGUAAAGGGCUCGCAGGCGGUUUCUUAAGUCUGAUGUGAAAGCCCCCGGCUCAACCGGGGAGGGUCAUUGGAAACUGGGAAACUUGAGUGCAGAAGAGGAGAGUGGAAUUCCACGUGUAGCGGUGAAAUGCGUAGAGAUGUGGAGGAACACCAGUGGCGAAGGCGACUCUCUGGUCUGUAACUGACGCUGAGGAGCGAAAGCGUGGGGAGCGAACAGGAUUAGAUACCCCUGUAGUCCCUGUCUCUUAUAC
rnacentral:rRNA from 1 species